UACGUAGGGGGCAAGCGUUGUCCGGAUUUAUUGGGCGUAAAGAGCGUGUAGGCGGUUCGGUAGGUCCGUUGUGAAAACUCGAGGCUCAACCUCGAGACGCCGAUGGAAACCAUCGAACUAGAGUCCGGAAGAGGAGAGUGGAAUUCCUGGUGUAGCGGUGAAAUGCGUAGAUAUCAGGAAGAACACCCGUGGCUAAGGCGGCUCUCUAGUACGGUACUGACGCUGAGACGCGAAAGCGUGGGGAGCGAACAGG
rnacentral:rRNA from 1 species